rnacentral:rRNA from 1 species
AAUCAACGCUGGCGGCGUGCCUAACACAUGCAAGUCGAACGCGAAAGCCCCUUCGGGGGUAAGUAGAGUGGCGUCCGGGUGAGUAACACGUAGGUAAUCUACCUUCGGGUGGGGAAUAACCAGUCGAAGAUUGGCUAAUACCGCAUAAUGCAGCGGCACCUAAUGGUGAUUAGUUGUUAAAGCGGGGGAGUCGUAAGACCUCGCGCCUGAAGAGGAGCCUGCGGCAGAUUAGCUAGNGGUGAGGUAAUGGCUCACCAAGGCUUCGAUCUGUAGCUGGUCUGAGAGGACGGCCAGCCACACUGGCACUGACACACGGGCCAGACUCCUACGGGAGGCAGCAGUGGGGAAUUUUGGGCAAUGGGCGAAAGCCUGACCCAGCAACGCCGCGUGAGGGAGGAAGGCCUC